UGGCUGAUUAUUCCCAUAGGGGGUCAUGUCUGAGGGACGUUGUGAACCAUCAGAGCAUGGCCCUGGACAUGUGGAGCCUGCAGUGCCCUCAGAUACAAAUGGAGUGAGCCCCUCACCAGAACGUGCUUCCUCCAAGGCCCUUAUUUUGGCUCCUGUACACACUCCUUUUCAGGAGGACCCACUGACAAGAAGUCUGCUGCCCAGCUGCUAAGCUCCCCUUUCAGCUGGUCCAUGAGCAGCCUGAGGUCUGACCUGCCCCCGGGAAGCAAAAGGCAGCACCCAGCAGAGCAUGUGCACAUCCUCACAGGCGGGACUGGUGGCUGGACUUGGCCAAACCAGUACCUGCAUCUGAUACUCCAGCACCGGGACUUCCUCCUCAUCUGAUGGCCCAAACUGACACCGAGUGGCCGAGAAACGAAGUGCUAUAGAGACAGCCAGCUUUAAGUUCACGGUGGACAUGCCCACAAUGGCGACCCGGCCCAUGGACAAGGUGCCCAGGGAUGCUCCGAAGCGCUGCCGGUCAUCCUAUGGAAGAAAAGCACAUGCCUCUCCUAUGUGCUGAGGACCCCUCUCUCGGGCCUUCCAGCCUCCAGCCUCCAGCCCGUCCCCCGUGACGCUCAUCCCCUCUGCUGUAUGCCUUCUGCUCCUUCAUUUUCCUACUGGCUUCUGAUGAAUGGCUGACACUACUAUUCCCAUUGGUAA